rnacentral:misc_RNA from 1 species
GGUUAGAGGAUAUUUGAAUUUGAGUUAAAUGGGCAACAAUUUAGCUGGAAAGGCGAGUCUUCUAUUGAUAUCCAGCCGGUCCAACUUCAGUGUUUACGAUGCUUGUGCGCCACUGAUGCUAUAGCUACCUAUUAUCAUUUGCAGUUAAUUGGGGCUGUACCUUCAAAUUCUCCUGAGACACCACCUGCCAUUUCUGCCUUAUUAGACUCCUUUAAGGACGUUUUUAC